rnacentral:rRNA from 1 species
CCUACGGGGGGCAGCAGUAGGGAAUCUUUCACAAUGGGCGAAAGCCUGAUGGAGCAACGCCGCGUGCAGGAUGAAGGCCUUCGGGUUGUAAACUGCUUUUAUAAGCGAGAAAUAUGAUGGUAACUUAUGAAUAAGGAUCGGCUAACUACGUGCCAGCAGCCGCGGUCAUACGUAGGAUCCGAGCAUUAUCCGGAGUGACUGGGUGUAAAGAGUUGCGUAGGUGGCAUAAUAAGUAGCUAGUGAAAUCUGGUGGCUCAACCAUUCAGACUAUUAGCUAAACUGUUAAGCUCGAGACCGUUAGGGGUAACUGGAAUUUCUAGUGUAGGAGUGAAAUCCGUAGAUAUUAGAAGGAACACCAGUAGCGUAGGCAGGUUGCUGGGACGGUUCUGACACUAAGGCACGAAAGCGUAGGGAGCAAACGGGAUUAGAUACCCGAGUAGUC